GGGCCCCGCCGAGCCCCGCUGUGACGCCACCGGCCGCCGCCCGGACCGGCCCCGCCGUGCCUCUGGCUGAGGGAGGCGCGGAGCGGCCUCGGCUGUCGGGGUAGGGCCGUGUGCAAGCCGACGGGUCCCUGGUCCUGCUCGCCUUUAGCCCCCGGCCGCAAGAACCGAGGGGCUCCUGCCGGCGAGAGCCGCCGCCGCUUUCUGCAACCACACCGAGCUCGUGCAGAACACCCGCGAGCCUGAGCGAUGCCCAAACCCCGGAAAGACUGUGGCGAUGAGUUUUGAGUUUUCCAUAGCUCGGUGUGAGUAGGAAGGACUCCCGAUACUGCCGGGUGGUUGGCAUCUUUUGGAACGUGCUCCUGGCCUGAGCAACUGCCCUGCCCAAGCUGAGGCUGCAAUCAACCAACACCCACACCUGGAAAAUGGGGACGUGUUAAUAACCAGCACAAAUCCUGCUCUAACGCUGCCACGCCUGACUUCCUGCAUCACACACCUGAGUCCCAUGUACUGGUGUCACCUGAAUGCCAGGAAGCUGAACUGAGGUGAGGCAGCAGGGAAGACAAAUGCCCUGGUGUUACCUGCAGUGUUCCAUGCUACAGCUCCCUUCUGGGGGGGGUCCCAAGCAGUCAGGAACCUGAGCAAUAAUUUGGGUGACAGGUGCUGCUGGAAACAGUACAGCUUGCCUGCCAAGUUGAGUGAGUUUAGGAGGGUUAGGAUUGGAUGUGUUUUGCUGAGGAACAGUAAAUACAAGUAACAACAGCUGCAGAAAACAGCGCAUGCCAGAAAUGAACGACAAUACUCCAGAAGUUAAAAAAAAAAUUAUAUUGUAAGUACAGUACAAAAAAGUCUGUGUAUAAUUGUAAUGUAAUCUGGACCAAACAGCAAAGAAAUAACAAAAAUAUAAAAACUGCUAAGUCUUGACAAAGUUUCCCUAUAGUACCAAGUACCACAAGAUACAGAUUAUACAAAGUGUACAAAUUUUAAUAAAAAUACAAUACACCAGGGUGUGUGUUUUUCACUCUUCAAGAGUUUUCAGUUGUACAGAGGACAAAGCUAAGGUUGAUCCCCUUCUUUCUUCAAAAGCAGAUCUACCCCUUCACCACAAUGCUCUCAACUGUGAAGGGCUGGAAAGAGCCGGUUAUUUUGUGCUGCUCACAACAGCAGAUGCUUUAGUAUGGGCCAGGAUCUGAAGAGGAUUGGGCUGCCUCCCUCCUGGGCUCUUCCUAUUUCCAGGCUCAUUGGGAUUUGUCCUAAGCUGUUAAAACGUGUUCUGGCCUGGUGGUCUGAGAACCUCUGUGCUUCCUCUGCUCAGAAAACCCCUCACUGCACUGAGAAAAGAUCUGUAAGAGACAGACUACCUUGUACAGGCACAUCUGAGGAAUACGUGGCAAAGCGGCAUGGGGAGAAAAACCCUCCACACCCCAGAAUUUAAUUUACUUCUGAUUUGGGACUCAGCCACAAUGAAGGACAGCUCACUUUCAAAUGUCCUAAAAAACAGAAGCUAGACUUGGAAAUAAAAAAAUGCCUCUUCUCUAAUUUUAAAACUUUCUGUUACAGAGCUGAUAAGGCCUGAGUCAAAUGAUAUUUCAGUUGUUCUGCCCACCUUCACAAGAUAACCUGUUUCUACAAACUCUUAGAAUCUUCCUGGUGUUUCUUUACACAAUGCCCAUGCUUACUACUAUACAUAGAGUUGAUUCCUGCAGAAGUGAGCUAAGACAAACUUGAUUCACAUUUUUCACACACUGUUGGCUGAGGGAGGAAUUUUUGCUUUUAAAUUAUGUAUAUAUAUAAAAAUAUAUACACACACACACACACAGAGAGAAAUAUACAGGAUAAAUUAAAAUCUGUUACAGAUAUUGGUAAAAGUUAAAUACAUGUGAUAUGAA